rnacentral:rRNA from 1 species
GAUGAACGCUGGCGGCGUGCCUAAUACAUGCAAGUCGAGCGAACAGACGAGGAGCUUGCUCCUCUGACGUUAGCGGCGGACGGGUGAGUAACACGUGGAUAACCUACCUAUAAGACUGGGAUAACUUCGGGAAACCGGAGCUAAUACCGGAUAAUAUAUUGAACCGCAUGGUUCAAUAGUGAAAGACGGUUUUGCUGUCACUUAUAGAUGGAUCCGCGCCGCUUUAGCUAGUUGGUAAGGUAACGGCUUACCAAGGCAACGAUGCGUAGCCGACCUGAGAGGGUGAUCGGCCACCCUGGAACUGAGCCACGGUCCAGACUCCUACGGGAGGCAGCAGUAGGGAAUCUUCCGCAAUGGGCGAAAGCCUGACGGAGCAGCGCCGCGUGAGUGAUGAAGGUCUUCGGAUCGUAAAACUCUGUUAUUAGGGAAGAACAAAUGUGUAAGUAACUAUGCACGUCUUGACGGUACCUAAUCAGAAAGCCACGGCUAACUACGUG